CUUUUAAUGCUACCACUGAACUGAUUUGAAUUCUGGGUUCAUUUUUUAUCCAAUUGAAGCAUUAUGAAUAGAAUUUUAACUUUCCUCUCCGAAUUUUAUGUUUUGCCUAUUUACGGGGUAAUUUUUGAAUAGAUAUCGAUCUCUCUGCUGGUCGACCUGGGGAACAGUCCAUCCACAGAGUUUUUGUGGACCCAGGAGGCAGCCAUUGCAUUGCUGUGGUAGUCGGCAAUGGAACCUCUGACACAUUUUACACGCAUGCAAAGUGGACCAAGCCUCGUGUAUUGAGCAAACUGAAAGGCCUUGUAGUGAAUGCUGUUGCCUGGAAUAGGCAACAUAUAGCAGAAGGUGAACUUGAGUGUUGCUUAAUGUCUCCAUGCUUGAUUCGCAUUCAUAUGUCAAAAUUUGAGCAAAAUAAGUGUAUUUGCUAUUGUUUUGCAGCUUCCACAAGGGAAGUCAUUCUUGGUACUGACAAUGGCCAACUUCAUGAAAUUGCUGUCGACGAGAAGGACAAGAAGGAAAAGUACAUUAAGUUUUUAUUUGAACUCAGUGAACUCUCUGAAGCUUUUACGGGUUUGCAGGUUCCAAGCACCUUUUCCUUUUGUUUUACCUUGUUGUCCCACUUCUUUUAACCUAUUUAAACAAACUAUUUGAAGUGUUGACAGUUACUUGUAGAUGUGAGCUAAGAGUUAAUCAAAACUGUGCUAAAUUAAGAAAUAGGCAUGUCAUUGGACAUAUGCCAAUCCAUAAUAAUUAUUUAUGCACAUUCUUGUAAAGCUUGGGAAUUCUUUUGAAAUCCACAAUUUUCUAAUCUGAAAAUCAACAUCAUCCUGGAAAACUCUGCUGAUGUAACGAAGAUUUUUGCCGCCCUUAAAUCACUUGCAUUUUUGAACCAAUGCUGGGUUUCACUAAAUGAAAUGUUAAGAGUUUAUCUUCAGGAUGUGCAGUAUAUUAUAUUGGUUGGUUUUGGGUAUAGGUUAGCGUGGGGAAACUGUCAGGAAAAUCUGUUUGUUCUGCGGUUCUGGGAAAUUUGGAGGGGAAAGCAUGAGAGGAAUUUUCAAGAUUGAUUCAUACCAAGAGAUAUUGUCAGUGAUUGGACUUCUCACAAAAAAUGAAAAAUAUUUUCUUUUCUAAGUGAUAUUUUUCAUUUCAAUCAAAUAUACUCUUAAAGGACCAUUUUAGUGCAACGGAUUUAAUUUCAGUGCCCAUUGAAGCUUAGUAAAAUCUAUUACCAAUGAAACAUUUGACUCCACAAAUUUAUCGAAAUAAAAUAUUCUAUGUGUAAAUUUAAAAAUUUCCCCUAAUUUUUGAAGGCAAAUUCUCCUUCAAAAUCGAUAUUCACGACAUUAUUUUUCCCAAAUACCAAAACUCAAACAAGGGCUUAGUGCUAACUAUGAUUAUGCCCCUAUUUGAUCCCCAUUACAUUAAAUUCUAUUACAUUUCAUUUUUCUCUCUCCUAUUUUCAACCACACAAUCUUUCAUAAAAUAAUAUUAUACGUAAAUCGAAAAUUUUUCAUUCUUUUUCAAUCGCUAAUUUUUCAAAAAAGUACUACUCUCCUCGUUAAUUUUCCUAACUAAUGGGAAUCAAACAGGGGCUAUAUUUACAGCAUUCGUUUAAUUCCACGAGCUACAGAAGUAGAAGCUCAUCUGCUUCAGAUUUUGUGAAUUAUUAAGUUCGAGAAAUGGAGCAGAGACGGCAGGUUUUCUCGGUGGACCUUCUAGAAAGGUACGCUGCUAAGGGGCGGGGAGAAAUCACGUGUAUGGCCGCCGGGAACGAUGUGAUUGUGUUGGGUACAAGCAAAGGCUGGAUCAUUCGACACGAUUUUGGCGUCGGCGAUUCUUUUGGUACAUAUUGAUUGCAUUUUUCUGUACUAUUUAUUGUCAUUGUGCAAAUAAUUUGAAUAUGUUUUUCUUCGUGUGUCCAAAAUUUUGUUGGGAGAUUUCCAAUUGCUAAAGAAAUUGAGCAUUUUAUCGCUUUUUAUGUUUGCUUAUUGAACAAGUACUAGUCAAUUUAUUUGUAAUUUUUUUUUUUGCUAAAUAGGGCAGCGAAUUUAUUGACCAAACGGUUAACAAAUUGGGCUUGGGUGAUAUACCGAUAUUAAUUGGCCAAUAGUUUCAUUAGCUGACCUUUUAAUGCUACCACUGAACUGAUUUGAAUUCUGGGUUCAUUUUUUAUCCAAUUGAAGCAUUAUGAAUAGAAUUUUAACUUUCCUCUCCGAAUUUUAUGUUUUGCCUAUUUACGGGGUAAUUUUUGAAUAGAUAUCGAUCUCUCUGCUGGUCGACCUGGGGAACAGUCCAUCCACAGAGUUUUUGUGGACCCAGGAGGCAGCCAUUGCAUUGCUGUGGUAGUCGGCAAUGGAACCUCUGACACAUUUUACACGCAUGCAAAGUGGACCAAGCCUCGUGUAUUGAGCAAACUGAAAGGCCUUGUAGUGAAUGCUGUUGCCUGGAAUAGGCAACAUAUAGCAGAA
rnacentral:lncRNA from 1 species